CACUAAAUAGCUCAGUGGUAGAGCACCUGACUAGAGAUUCAGAAGGACCAGGUUUGAAUACCAGUCUGGUGU
rnacentral:tRNA from 1 species